rnacentral:rRNA from 1 species
UGGGGAAUUUUGGACAAUGGGCGAAAGCCUGAUCCAGCAAUGCCGCGUGUGUGAAGAAGGCCUUCGGGUUGUAAAGCACUUUUGUCCGGAAAGAAAUCCUUGGCUCUAAUACAGUCGGGGGAUGACGGUACCGGAAGAAUAAGCACCGGCUAACUACGUGCCAGCAGCCGCGGUAAUACGUAGGGUGCAAGCGUUAAUCGGAAUUACUGGGCGUAAAGCGUGCGCAGGCGGUUGCUAAGACCGAUGUGAAAUCCCCGGGCUCAACCUGGGAACUGCAUUGGUGACUGGCAGGCUAGAGUAUGGCAGAGGGGGGUAGAAUUCCACGUGUAGCAGUGAAAUGCGUAGAGAUGUGGAGGAAUACCGAUGGCGAAGGCAGCCCCCUGGGCCAAUACUGACGCUCAUGCACGAAAGCGUGGGGAGCAAACAGGAUUAGAUACCCCUGGUAGUCCACGCCCUAAACGAUGUCAACUAGUUGUUGGGGAUUCAUUUCCUUAGUAACGUAGCUAACGCGUGAAGUUGACCGCCUGGGGAGUAC